rfam:Thermobrachium celere DSM 8682 genomic scaffold, scaffold33
AAAAAUCUUCAGGGCAGGGUGAAAUUCCCGACCGGCGGUAUAGCCCGCGAGCCGAAAGGCAUGACUCGGUGAAAUUCCGAGGCCGACAGUAUAGUCUGGAUGGGAGAAGAUUUAU